rnacentral:misc_RNA from 1 species
GGAUUAUUUUGCUGAAACUAUUGAUAGCACAUUCAGUUAUGAUCAAUUAAAAGCCAAGUCUGAUAAUCCAGUGACUGGAAUUGAUCUCAAAAAGAGAGAGGCCUAUCUCUCAGAUGAAGAGUUCCAAACUGUAUUUGGAACAACAAAAGAAGCAUUCUACAAGUUGCCAAAAUGGAAGCAAGACAUGCAGAAGAAGAAAGCCGAUUUGUUCUAGCGAAUGAAUCGAGAUUGGAUGACAACAUUACUGCUCUAAGGUUCAAAUCUAGAUUU